GCCAGUGUGGUGUAGUGGUUUGAGCAUUGGACUGCGACUGUGGAGACCAGGGUUCAAUUCUCUGCUCGGCCA